rnacentral:rRNA from 1 species
CAUAUUAAAGUUGUUGCAGUUAAAAAGCUCGUAGUUGAAUUUUGGACCUGGCUGGGUGGUCUUGCCGAAAGGUAAGCASUGCAUGGKCGGGUCUUUCCUUCUGGGGAACCAGUGUGCUCUUAACUGGGUGCGCUGGGGAUCCAGGACUUUUACUUUGAAAAAAUUAGAGUGUUUAAAGCAGGCCUACGCUUGAAUACAUUAGCAUGGAAUAAUAGAAUAGGACUUUGGUUCUAUUUUGUUGGUUUCUAGGACCGAAGUAAUGAUUAAUAGGGAUAGUUGGGGGCAUUAGUAUUUAAUUGUCAGAGGUGAAAUUCUUAGAUUUAUGAAAGACUAACUUCUGCGAAAGCAUUUGCCAAGGAUGUUUUCAUUAAUCAAGAACGAAAGUUAGGGGAUSGAAGACGAUCAGAUACCGUCGUAGUSUUAACCAUAAACUAUGCCGACUAGGGAUCGGACGUCGUUAAUUUAGUGASUCGURSGGCGCCKUACGGGAAACAAUCACUAGGUG